AUUGAACGCUGGCGGCAUGCUUUACACAUGCAAGUCGAACGGCAGCACGGGUGCUUGCACCUGGUGGCGAGUGGCGGACGGGUGAGUAAUACAUCGGAACGUAUCCAGAAGAGGGGGAUAACGCAUCGAAAGAUGUGCUAAUACCGCAUAUUCUCUGAGGAGGAAAGCAGGGGAUCGCAAGACCUUGCGCUUUUGGAGCGGCCGAUGUCUGAUUAGCUAGUUGGUGGGGUAAAGGCCUACCAAGGCGACGAUCAGUAGUUGGUCUGAGAGGACGACCAGCCACACUGGGACUGAGACACGGCCCAGACUCCUACGGGAGGCAGCAGUGGGGAAUUUUGGACAAUGGGCGCAAGCCUGAUCCAGCAAUGCCGCGUGAGUGAAGAAGGCCUCGGGUUGUAAGACGUCUUUCUAGUCGAGAAGAAAAGGACGU
rnacentral:rRNA from 1 species